UAUUAUUGGGGUGUUUUGCUGGAACUGC
rnacentral:piRNA from 1 species